rnacentral:rRNA from 1 species
UCAAGCGACUAAGUGUAUGUGGUGGAUGCCUUGGCGAUCACAGGCGAUGAAGGACGUGACAGCCUGCGAAAAGCUGUGGGGAGCUGGCAAAUAAGCUUUGAUCCACAGAUGUCCGAAUGAGGGAACUCACCUGCUUUGCAGGUAUCCCAUCCUGAAUAUAUAGGGAUGGGAGGCGAACGAAGCGAACUGAAACAUCUAAGUAGCUUCAGGAAAAGAAAUCAACCGAGAUUCCGAAAGUAGCGGCGAGCGAAAUCGGAUCAGCCCAGCACUCGAUAGCAGCCAACUUACGGGAACGGUCUGGAAAGUCCGGCCAUAGAGGGUGAUAGCCCCUUACUGGAAAAGGCAGCUGCGGUACUAAGUGUGCGAUAAGUAGAGCGGGACACGUGACAUCCUGCUCGAAGAUGGGGGGACCAUCCUCCAAGGCUAAAUACUCGUGAUCGACCGAUAGCGUACCAGUACUGUGAAGGAAAGGUUAAAAGAACCCCGGGAGGGGAGUGAAAUAGAUCCUGAAACCGCAUACAUACAAACAGUAGGAGCCUCGUUAAGGGGUGACUGCGUACCUUUUGCAUAAUGGGUCAGCGACUUACGUUUAAUGGCGAGCUUAACCGUAUAGGGGAGGCGCAGCGAAAGCGAGUUCGAACAGAGCGUUCAGUCGUUAGGCGUAGACCCGAAACCAGAUGAUCUAUCCAUGGCCAGGUUGAAGGUGUGGUAACACACACUGGAGGACCGAACCGACUAGUGUUGCAAAAUUAGCGGAUGAGCUGUGGAUAGGGGUGAAAGGCUAAACAAAUCUGGAGAUAGCUGGUUCUCCCCGAAAACUAUUGAGGUAGUGCCUCGUGUAUGACUCCAGGGGGUAGAGCACUGUUAUGGCUAGGGGGACAUGGCGUCUUACCAAACCAUGGCAAACUCCGAAUACUUGGAAGUUUGAGCACGGGAGACAGAGCACCGGGUGCUAACGUCCGGACUCAAGAGGGAAACAACCCAGACCGCCGGCUAAGGUCCCUAAUAUUGACUAAGUGGAAAACGAAGUGGAAAGGCUAAGACAGUCAGGAAGUUGGCUUAGAAGCAGCCAUCCUUCAAAGAAAGCGUAAUAGCUCACUGAUCGAGUCUUUCUGCGCGGAAGAUGUAACGGGGCUAAGUCAAUAACCGAAGCCGCGGAUUCACACUUAUGUGUGAGUGGUAGGGGAGCGUUCUGUAAGCCUGCGAAGGUGACUCGUAAGGGUUGCUGGAGGUAUCAGAAGUGCGAAUGCUGACAUGAGUAACGUUAAAGCGGGUGAAAAGCCCGCUCGCCGUAAGCCCAAGGUUUCCUGCUCUACGUUCAUCGGAGCAGGGUGAGUCGGCCCCUAAGGUGAGGCUGAGAAGCGUAACUGAUGGGAACAAGGUUAAUAUUCCUUGACCACCGCUGAAUGCGAAGGGGGGACGGAGUAUUGAAGAUCAUCCGGGUGUUGGAUAUCCCGGUUUGCGAGCGUAGGAGGCUGACAGGCAAAUCCGUCAGCGAAUCUCCGAGGCAAAGCAUCGAGCUCUCUUUUGAGCGAAGUGAUUGGAUGUGCUUCCAGGAAAAGCCUCUAAGCUCCAGUUCAGCGGGACCGUACCGCAAACCGACACUGGUGGGCGAGCUGAAUAUGCUCAGGCGCUUGAGAGAACUCAGGAGAAGGAACUCGGCAAAUUGACACCGUAACUUCGGGAUAAGGUGUGCCUUUGUAGCGUGGAGGGAGAAACACCCCGAGCGCGAAGAGGUCUCAGAUAAUCGGUGGCUGCGACUGUUUAUUAAAAACACAGCACUCUGCAAAGACGAAAGUCGACGUAUAGGGUGUGAUGCCUGCCCGGUGCUGGAAGAUUAAUUGAUGGGGUGCAAGCUCCUGAUCGAAGUCCCAGUAAACGGCGGCCGUAACUAUAACGGUCCUAAGGUAGCGAAAUUCCUUGUC